GUUAAUUUGCAAUAAUCUUGGCUGACCUUUCCUUUCUUUGUUACCACAGAACAGGAGGUCUUGGCGUUGAAUACUGUGUUGUGAGUGAAAUCAGCCAGUUGGCACUAAAAAAUUUAAACAUGAUCCGUCCUUUGCAUAUUACAGUGGGCCAAUGGGAAGAAAGCCAAUGUGACAGUGUCUGGAGUGCCUUGGCCAGGACCCAAAGCCUAUCUGGCUUUGAAAUAUAGAUUUGAAAUGCUCCGAUUAGAUUGGGCAGGAAACAGUGAUGAUCAUUAUUUCUUGGGUGGAAGACCACAUGCUCUCUCUAUUCAUAUGCUGGCUCCUCUUACUGAAAUUCAUAUCAAAAAAUGUGUCUGUAAAGAUUAAAGGCAUAAGUUGAGCUAAUGUUCUUAUCUUAAUUAAGUACAUUUCUUAAACAUAGGAAUGAGAUGCUGAAUCAAAUGGAUUGCAACACCUAUAUUAAUGGUUUUAAGCUAUGUGUUUAGCAGGCACUAAACAGGCAAGACAAAAUUUCCAAUUUUUAAUUAUCUGAACAUUUUUGUAAUUGUCUAAUCCCAUGGGUCUGUUGCAAUUGCCAGGAUUACCCCAAAGCCAUGGAGUCUGCAACAUGCAGCAUCUUCUUACCAUUCAUGGCCACAGGGCUUGGAGCCACUGUCUGUUGGACUUACUUCACCCAUACUGGUAUGACUGAUGGGGGCUGAGUUCAAGAUCAGGCAAGAGAAAAACACGUAGAGGAAGUAAUCUCACCGUCCUGGGAACGGCCUGCCACCAUCUUAAGAGCUCUAAGAACAAAGACCUGCCAGUAACAUUGUAAUUGAUAUAAAUUGAUUUAGGUCUGCCGUUUCACAUUUAAUUUUCUAUAUGCUUCCUAUCUGUUUAUCUCUUUUCCUCUUUUACUGCUUUAUUUGUAUUAAUAUUUCUAAUGUAUUAAAAUUUUUUGUGUUACAUUUGAGGUUUUUUGAAUGCUUCCCAUUGUGCUUAUCAUAUACUUCUUAGCUUACUGGAAUCUACCUCAGAUUUAUACUAAAUAUUAAAAGAUGUAGAAAUGUUACUCCUGUAGAGCUCUAUUGUCUCUUACCUCCUUUUUUGGCAAUUAUUGUCAUACAUACUCAAUAAUACAUUGUUGUGCAUAUUACUGUAUAUAAUUUUAUGUCAUUUAAAUAAAUUGAUGAGAUAAAGCAUGUUUAAAUAGUGUAGUUUUUGCUUUAUUAUUAAUUGGCACAUAAUAAUUAGACUUCAUGGGGUACAGUGUGACAUUUCAAUACUGGUAUAUUUAUACAGUGUGUAGUGAUCAAAUCAGGAUAAUUAGCAUACCCAUCACCUCGAACAUUUAUCAUUUCUUUGUGUUAGAAAUAUUCUAAAUCUGUACUUCUAGCUAUUUGAAAUACACAAAAGGUUAUUGUUAGUUAUAUUCACCCUAUAGUGCUAUAGAACACCUAGAAUGUAAUCUUCCUAUCUAGCUGUACUUUUUGUUUAACCAACCUUUGCUAUCCCCCUAUAGUGUUUUGUAUUGACCUUUGUUAUUAUUAUUUCUGCUCCUUUAUUCACUUCAUCACAUCAGGUAGAAAUCUUCAGUUAGGUAAUAUUUUAUACAUAAUAUGAAAAGAAAAGAAUGAAUAUACUUUAGGAGAACGUGAAGGCAACAGGACAAGGUGGCAGAAAGAUGCCAAGUAGACUUGGAGGAGCUCCAGCAAACAGGUGGCACUAAAGCACAUCAGCCCUCAUGAAGAGGUUUUCAAUUUAUUCUACAGUUGCUACUCUUGCAUCCAAAAUAGUACCUAUGGUGGUGCAACAUUUUUGUAUUCUAGUAAAAAUUUUUCUUUAAAGAUGUAUGAGGACACAUAAAACGAUAAAUAUUUGAGGGGGUGUGCAUCCUAAAUACCCUGAAUUAUUACACACUGCAUGUAUGUAUCAAAAUAUCACAUGUACUCCAUAAAUAUGUUUAAUUAUUAUAUAUCAACUUUAAAAAAUUAAAAUAGCAGCGAAGCAUUAGGACACUAGCAGAGGAAAUACUAAACUGACCCACGAAGAAACUUUCACAGCUAAGGGCCCAUGUGUGGACACACAGAAAACAAUUACUGCUGAACAUGUAACAAAAAAUUACCUACAGAUUAGGAAUAUACAUGCCUCUAGUAGAGAGUACACAAAAGCCACAAAUGAGAAGCUACAACGUGGAACUCAUAGUUAACAAGGAAAUCUGCAAAGGACUUCAGAGAACUAUGUUAAACUGUUAAGAGAGAGAAAUAGAGGAAUUAAGCUUGCAAUGCAAGAAUGCAAUAAAACAGUUUGAAGAAAAAAAACAGUCAAAGGGAGUGGGAUAGAGAAGAAAGGUGUGCAAAGAAAUUUUUAAAAAAUGGUAAAGCUAAAACCACUACCUACUAUUUAGUGUGUGUGUGUGUGUGUGUAUAUAUAUAUAUAUAUAUAUAAAAUUUAGUGUGUAUGAAUAUAUAUAUAAUCUGCUAUAAACAGAAUAUAUGCAUAUACAUUUUAUCUGCUAUAUACUGUUUAUAUAUAGCAGAUAUAAUUUCAGAUAGAUAGUAUUUCAAAUUUAUCUGCAGAACUCCUCUCUAGAGACAUGGCCGUGAGUAAAUUCAGGGAGUCAUAGCACAGCCUUGGAGCCUGUUCCUGUCUGGAUUGGACCUCCAUUGACCGACUAUUACAAUAAAAGCCACAGUAAAAUCCAGUAGCCUCUGGAAACCACUGAAGCAGAAGGUAUUCUAGCACCAGCAAAGGAAACAGGAAACUUGUUAGAUCCAGACACUAUAUUCCAGAUAUAGACUCCCCCAGUUUUCCCAAGGGCUUCUUAAACAUUUCUUAUAAACACUGUUUUUGUUAGAAGCACCAAAUGUAUCAUAGACUGGAUUUAUUUUCUCCUCUUUUCAUUUACUGAUUGACCUACCUCUCUGAGAUUCUCAUUUAGCAAUGGCUUUGCUUGUGAAUGGGGCAGGUCUUUACCUAAAUCAAAU
rnacentral:lncRNA from 1 species